UGUGGGAGCGAGCUUGCUCGCGAUGACGGCGGUACAUUCAGCAUUUAUGCAAGCUGACACACCGCUAUCGCGAGCAAGCUCGCUCCCACA
rnacentral:misc_RNA from 1 species